rnacentral:lncRNA from 1 species
AAAUAACUUGACUCUAAGGCAUAUUAAACUGUAAAUUAGUUCUUUUCUCAAGUUCUUCCAAUAUAAUUUGUUUUUAGAUGUACUCUUGAAGGUUCUUUUAAAUGUAUCAAGCAAAGCGUAUCAAGGAUGUAUCAAAUCUUUCUUCCUUACUCACUUAUGUACUGGAUUAAUUGAGUUAAUAGCAUUAGCACUUCCAUAUGGCCUCAAUGGCUUUGUAAGCAUCAAAAUAAUACUAGGAUCCU